ACUGUAUACACCGUAGACACCAUAAAUCACACUUUACGUAGGUCUGGCAAUGCAAGGCUAUGAGUGCAUUGAUGGGGGGAGAGGCUGUGACUAGUUUAGACAUUUAAACAUUUAGUAAUGCUGUCAUGUUUCCAAAUCUCAGUGAUUAAAGUGGUGAGUACAAUUACCAGAAUUAUAAACCAGAAUUAUCCUUUGCAGGAUAAUGUAGGGCUAGUGGUGAUGAAUUAUAUCUGCUUGCUGCCUCUACUCUCCAGUCCACUUUCACCUCCACAAUCUCCAACAGUUAAAGCAAAGCUGUGUUUUCUACUUCAUCAUUAAUUCUCGAAAAGCAGAAAUACAAAUACAUUCAUCAUCUGCUGAAAAGGGCUUUCAACGAAAAUGGAAUCCAAAUUCUGGACUUUUAUGUUGUGAACGUUGCUGUACUGUAAACCUCUUAGAAUGGUGAAUGGGAAGGGAUUUUCAGAUGCAGAACUUGAAUCAUAACCUCACAAUUUACCAGUUUAAUGACUACUACAGUGAUCAUGCUUCGUCAUCAUCAAGAACAACUUGACACAUAGUAUGGUGCUACAGCUGGUUGGUUCGUAGUUAAAUCUGAAUUUCUAAAAUGUUUGUGGAGGAACAUAAUAGAAAUGUACUUCCUGUAUGAGUAGUUACACCACAGUACAUCUCCACUAAUCAUCAAGUCAAGCCACAAACUGUAGAUCACAGAGGCUUAAAAAAAUAAACGGACUUCCCCUUUAUUUACAAAAUAUGCAGUGCAGACGGAGGCCUUAAGCCUUGCCGUGUGACACUUUGUGUAACUUCCUUGCAAUAAAUGUGACAAUGCUGUAAAUGUGGUAAAAGAGUUUUUUAUAAUACAAAGAAUUAUAGUACAGAGUAGCAGUGUGUUGUAACUUUGAUGAGGAAACUAACAUGUGGGAAUCACUAAUUCUUGGCACCCAACAGCUACGUGUCAUUAGUACUGUGUGGAAGUUCUCCAGAUGUGUCCUGUCUGCUUAUUUGAAUAAUCUCGGUGACUAUGUAAUGGGCUAAGUUUUAACUACUCAACUCAAAACCAUGUAUGGUGAAGUCAGGCUAACUAGGUUAUGAGGCCAAAAGGGCAAGGUAAAGUUUGAGCAACCACCAGCUGCUGAAAAGAAUUUCAAACUGUCUCCACAAAAGUAGACCUACUUGACAUGCAGUGUUGGCCAGUAACACAAUACUCAGUAACAUAUUACUGUAAUAUUAUUACUACCGUACCGAGUAUCGUAAGGGAUUACAAUUUCCAAAAUGGUAAUUAUAUUACAGAUACUAAUCCAGGUAACACUGCGUUAUGGUGUUACCCCAAUGUGAUUUGUUCUUUGUCCCAGGUAGUCUUUCUUAUAUGAUAACGUGGAGUGUACGCCUGUCGUAAUUUAGCGCGCAGCAGGCCAGGGCAGGUCACGGAUAUUGCAGGAUAGGAUAUGGUUUGACAUGUUUGAAUGUUGGCAGUUAUGCAGUUUGGCUGGUUGCUGACUCCUCCUGUAAGGUUAAUAAUUGUUGCAAUAAAGUAUACUGAGUUCUAAAGUAGCUGGCAGGAUGUGCGUUUGUUUUGUGUUUUUUUAACACAAAUAGUAAUAUAGUAAUAAAACGAGUAACGUAACUAAUACUUUUGAUAAAUUAAUAUUUUUUAACUUUUUAAGGAGUAAUUAGUGAAGAGUAACAUAUUACACUUCCUGAGUAACUUGCCCAACACUGUUGACAUGUAAUUUAUGUAAUGUCCUUGCAAUAAGUGCGACAACAGAGAGUUUAAAAUAAAGUGAUACAGUUUGCUGUGAUAUGUGAUGACCAAUAGAGCUCAUGAUGUUCUGGGGAAUUCAACCGAGAAAUUAGUCAUGAACUCGUGAGAGAGUGGAGUCUUGUAUGACUGUUUAAUUAUGCGUAACCAACAAUGGAUAAUGUAAAGUCUUCAUUUGGAUGGUUUACCUCACCAGUGGCAGUGCAAUAAGUGUGAGUCACAGCUGUGUGUAAUGUUGCAAUGCUUUCAAAGGGAAUCCCAAUUGGGAUUUCACAACAUCACAACAUGCUAAUAAUAGAAGCUAUACAGUAGUUCAGUGAAUCUAAGAUCACAACUGGCAUGGAUAUCAUUGGUUCCCAGAGGAUGAUGCUGAAUGUUUUUGUGACCCCCCCUGACAAUUUGUCUAAAGCCACCAUCAGGCCAACACUAUUCUCCUUAUAGAUUUAAAUCAACCUGCUGUCUCGUCUCCAAUGUAUGUGUAUGUGGUUUGCUCAACCAGUCAGCGCGCAGCUCAUCUAAAUAUUCAUGAGCAUACCAUAUUUGGAAGAAAAUCUGUCGUUCCAAAUAGAGACAUUCCACAGGGAUGCAUAAGGGCCCAAAGAAUAGCACCUGGGACAUUUUCAGCCCAACCAAUAUUACAUACCCUAUUAGGAAACCUUAAGGAACAGUGUGGAAAUACCCUAUAUAAUCAUUCUAUCACCCCUUUAAGAUUAUUUUGUCAAAUUAUUAAACACUAUUUUUCUUGUAUAGUCAAGGACCGAAGCACACCACAUAGCAUGCAAAUUGUGUGUGUGUGUGUGUGUGUGUGUGUGUGUGUGUGUGUGUGUGUGUGUAUUUCUCACAAAAGUUGUUUUUUAAUGGGCUGUGUUUGCUGUUGCUUUCAUGUUUUUAAUUUAGCGUGUUGUUACAUGCCUGGGGUAGGGACUUAUAGAAUGUCCACACAUCUUGUUGUCAUCACGUUCUUGUCAUUCUCCAACUUAUGGCCACUGGUUUGAUGUGCAAUAAACAUGCAUGUGUGUUACAGUAAUA